rnacentral:lncRNA from 11 species
CUCUAGUAGGAAGGCAAGCUUUGCACCACAUGAUCUCAGGAGUCAGUGAAAGGUUAAUCAGAACAACAAAAGAUGUCUCAAUGAUUCUUAAGACAGUGCAUUGGGGGUCAUCAGAAAAGAAAGACAAAGAUGCUGCAGAAGAAAGAAACUGCCAUACACGUUUCAGCUGGUCAGAAGGCAUGUGGUCUCUGUGUCACUUCUCCAAUUCUAAAAUGGCUGCUUUAAGAUCAAUACUCCUAUGCAUGCAGAUGUUGCUGAAGAAAGAAGAAAUUCAAGUACUACAAUGAUGUUUCAGUGACUCUGCUUUUCCUGAUAAAGCAAAGAAGGGACCCCCUCUGCCUUAUUUAGCAUGAUACAAGAGGCAAAGUUAAUGAUAUCUCUAAUACACUUCCCCAUACAGGGGAUGAAAAUGAUAUCCACACAACCUCUAAAUACAUCAAAGGUUCUUUAAACACCACAUCGGACUCAAAUAUUGAUAAUGUAAAGGAAAUAAA